rfam:Triticum aestivum genome assembly, contig: Triticum_aestivum_CS42_TGACv1_scaffold_002240_1AL
GUACUACUCCCUCCGUUCGGAAUUACUUGUCUCGAAUAUGGAUGUAUCUAGAACUAAAAUACGUCUAGAUACAUCUGUUUUCGCGACAAGUAAUUCCGAACGGAGGGAGUACUUC